AGAUGUGAUGGGAGUGACAGCCGCACAUUGAGUGAGACCCUUGAGAAUAUGCAUGCUCUAAAUAGGAUGUUCAGCCUUGAGACAGAUAUAUCUGUAUUGGAACAGAAAAUCCGAGCUAAAGUGGAGCAAACUCAAAAAUAAGGUGAAUCUCUCAAGCUUUUUUCAUUGAAAAUUCUCUCAGAGCCUCAACUGAAUAAGAGGAAGAAUUCCUCAAUUGUACUUUCUGUUGGUGGUACUGCAAAUUCUCAUUGAAAUACAUAGUCAGGAUAUGAUCCCUUACCGAGAUCUUUCCUGUUGAUUUAAUUUUGUCAAAGAUAUAUGCAAACCUCUGAUUGUCUAUUCCUCUUGUGUCUUAAGAGUACAUUUUGUAUGUAGCUGUUCUAUCGAUGUUAUUAGCUGAAGUUAUAUCCUUGUAAUGAG
rnacentral:misc_RNA from 1 species